rnacentral:rRNA from 1 species
AUGCAAAAACUCAGGCUGGACCACCGGGGCUUCACUGCUGGUGGAACGACAGAGGGCUUGGCUGCUACCAGGGUGAUCCAAAUGGAGUAUCUAGCUGUAAUGAUAUGUUUCAUGCGAGAGGACAUAAAUUUGCAUCCUAUUUUUCUGCCAAUUAGUUCCAAAUCACAAAUGUUUGUGCUAUUAGUGACAAUUUGGUGGAGAAGACGAGUCAUAUAUACAGCCAAUGUGUUAAUUUCUGUGAUGCGGCAAGCAAAGUUGGCAAUAGUACAGUAUAACCAUCAUGAUCUGCACAGGGAUAUCACCUAUGUGCAUAAGUCAUAA